rnacentral:rRNA from 1 species
AUUGAACGCUGGCGGCAGGCCUAACACAUGCAAGUCGAACGGUAACAGAAAGCAGAUUGCUGCUUUGCUGACGAGUGGCGGACGGGUGAGUAAUGUCUGGGAAACUGCCUGAUGGAGGGGGAUAACUACUGGAAACGGUAGCUAAUACCGCAUAACGUCGCAAGACCAAAGAGGGGGACCUUCGGGCCUCUUGCCAUCGGAUGUGCCCAGAUGGGAUUAGCUAGUAGGUGGGGUAACGGCUCACCUAGGCGACGAUCCCUAGCUGGUCUGAGAGGAUGACCAGCCACACUGGAACUGAGACACGGUCCAGACUCCUACGGGAGGCAGCAGUGGGGAAUAUUGCACAAUGGGCGCAAGCCUGAUGCAGCCAUGCCGCGUGUAUGAAGAAGGCCUUCGGGUUGUAAAGUACUUUCAGCGGGGAGGAAGGGAGUAAAGUUAAUACCUUUGCUCAUUGACGUUACCCGCAGAAGAAGCACCGGCUAACUCCGUG